CACGUAGGGUGCAAGCGUUGUCCGGAAUCAUUGGGCGUAAAGAGCUCGUAGGCGGCUUAGUAAGUCGGGUGUGAAAACCCCAGGCUCAACCUGGGGACGCCACCCGAUACUGCUAUAGCUAGAGUCCAGUAGGGGAGUGUGGAAUUCCCAGUGUAGCGGUGAAAUGCGCAGAUAUUGGGAGGAACACCAGCGGCGAAGGCGGCUCUCUGGGACGUGACUGACGCUGAGACGCGAAAGCGUGGGGAGCGAACAGG
rnacentral:rRNA from 1 species